UGCGGAGGUUGUCGAGCUAGGUUAAAGGCGAUGGAUUUAGGGUCCAUUCCCGUAGGGGUCCGCCGGUUCGAAUCCGGCCCUCCGCAUCC
rnacentral:tRNA from 1 species